rnacentral:lncRNA from 1 species
CUCUUUGAGGGUUGUUAUGGCUGAAAAUGAAAUCCUGUGGCCAGGGAGACUCCGAAUUUUGUUACACACGUCUCCAGAGAGCAGAAACACAAUCCAUUCCUUGAUUUGUACUAAAGCAUGUGUUGCAUUCUGGAACCCCUGGGAUGACUACUACUCCAAGUUAAAGAUUGCUUGACAUGUUACUUGAAGGAGUCCAUAGACAUAUUGCCUAAACAGGUCCAUUUGGAUGCCCUAAGAAUCAUUGAUCUUUGAAAUUUCUAAUCAUAAUCUACUUGCAAGUCAACACGAAAUGAUGUUUGUCCAAAAACUGGUGGUCAUUUAGAUGUAAAAGCAUAAUUGUUUGAAAAUGGGCUCAAAAUCCUUUGGAGCAUUCGGAGUUUGACUCUUGGCAAGACAAGAUUUCCUGUUUCUAAGAAAAAAGGCUCAAUGCAGCUUCUUGGACAUCAAAACAACAUUUGAUGAAUUAAUUGUAAAUGAAUCAGAAACAUAUGGAGUCAAUUUCCCCUGCAAUACACAUGUGUUUGAAAAAUUAAAGGGGGAAAAUGCUCCCGGCAAAAUGUG